CUUCCUAACCCGCCUUUUUUUUUCUUUUCGCCGCCAACCUGGCCUAAUUCUCUGAAGGUGAACACAAGCCCGACCUGUACAAAAAACUCACCUCCAGUUGGACCAAAUAGAUGUCUACUGCUGCCUGCAAGAGUAUCUGUACUUAAGGCUGAGGUAGUAGAUUGAAUAGUUGUGGGGUUUUUGUCCUCCCUCUGAGAUAACUAUACAAUCUACUGUCUUUCCUAAGGAGACAGGUUGAUCUUCCAAGCCAAAGCCUGUACAUGGGAGGCUCUGUGGAUAAAAGGAACUCAUGGACACAUCAAGUAAAGUGGAUUUAGGAGAUAGCGCGUUCUUCACCUUUGAGUAGAAGACUAUAUAGUAUAUAGACACAUAUACUGAUGGAACUAGUCUAAUCUAAUGACAACACGUACUGAAGUUGGCACAUAGAAUAAAGUCAUGAUAUUUGGUUCCGGAAAUUGAGCCUGGCAAGGUGAGGUAGUAGGUUGUAUAGUUUGUGGGAUGGAGUAAAUCCUACUCAGGCGAUAACUAUACAGUCUAAUACCUUUCUUGAGAGGUACAAUGAGUGCUUGGGAUGAAGCUCAUUCACAUGGGUGACGCCAUCAUGUGGCCAAAGACUAUCAUCACUCUGAAGAUUAUGGAAAGUUUGGUAACUAUACUCUGUGUAUCUAGGGUCAUGUUCACAAACAUCGUAAGGCUCAUUGUAAUACUGACAUAUAAAGGCACUUUCAUGGCCAUCACUGCGUAAUUCAGUCACAUUUUUACCGAAUCAAAGUAUGAAAAAUUGUCAGCUUGAAAUAGCUUAAAUAUUAGCUUAAAUAUUACAUUCCCAUGUUUUUUUACCAAAUGUUUUUUUUAACGUUAGAUUUAACACCAAUGAUGUUAAAUGCUAGAUGCUAAAAUAUUUAAAAUAGUGUUAUGAAUAAAAUCUAUGAAUAUAUUUCUAAUUGUUGAGUAUUUUGUUCCAUUUUCUGUGUGUUUUAUUUGACAUUUUAAUUGUUUUGCCUGAUUGAAUUUAAUUUGUGAAAAUAAAAAGUCAUUUAUUAUUAUUAAUGGAUUGUACAGCAAGAGAUGUGUAUCAGAUACAUUGUUAAUCAAUUAAAUAAAGCCAUACGAAACUCA